GAGCCGUGCGCUGAGCACAAAGCGAACUAUUCUUUCGCCUUUUACUAAAGAAUACCGUGUGCUCGCCGCUAAUAUUGGCAUACGACUAUUUUUUUCAAGGGUGCAUCAUUCUUGUGGUGCG
rfam:Prunus persica cultivar Lovell chromosome G1, whole genome shotgun sequence.